GUUGAACGCUGGCGGCAUGCCUUACACAUGCAAGUCGAACGGUAACAGGUCUUCGGAUGCUGACGAGUGGCGAACGGGUGAGUAAUACAUCGGAACGUGCCUAGUAGUGGGGGAUAACUACUCGAAAGAGUGGCUAAUACCGCAUGAGAUCUACGGAUGAAAGCAGGGGAUCGCAAGACCUUGUGCUACUAGAGCGGCCGAUGGCAGAUUAGGUAGUUGGUGGGAUAAAAGCUUACCAAGCCGACGAUCUGUAGCUGGUCUGAGAGGACGAUCAGCCACACUGUGACUGAGACACGGCCCAGACUCCUACGGGAGGCAGCAGUGGGGAAUUUUGGACAAUGGGCGAAAGCCUGAUCUAGCAAUGCCGCGUGCAGGAUGAGGGCCUUCGGUUUGUAAACUGCUUUUGUACGGAACGAAAAGCCCUGGGUUAAUACCCUGGGGUCAUGACGGUACCGUAAGAAUAAGCACCGGCUAACUACGUGCCAGCCGCCGCAGUAACAC
rnacentral:rRNA from 1 species